rnacentral:tRNA from 1 species
ACGGUGAUGGCGGAAAUGGUAGACGCGUUAGAUUCAGGUUCUAAUGGUGGUAAACACUUUGUGGGUUCGAGUCCCAUUCACCGUACCA